rnacentral:lncRNA from 1 species
GAAUAUAUUUUAGCUAUUAAUUCUUGGCUUGGUGUUUUUAGUCUUUUGAAGGAUGAAAAGGAAGAAAAAAAGUAAAAGCUCUGUUGACAGUUAAAAGCAGACAUCUGUUCUCUUUACCAAGACCCUCAGAGACCUGUCAGAGUGGACAAAGGCCUCUGGAGCCCUUCCCAAGAACCUUCUCGCUUGGAAGAUUAGCAGUUUCUUCGCUCUCAACUUGGCUAAACACCUUGAAAUAGUUCCAGCAAGAUGUAUCUCCCUCAGAUCCCAGGGCAGAAC